ensembl:misc_RNA Y_RNA Y RNA
GGCUGGUCUGAAAGGUAAUAAGUUAUCUUUAUCGAUUGUUCAUAGUCGCUUAUAGAUCAAACUCCUUAGCCUACUCUCUUCCCUUCUCACUACUAUACUUGACUAGUCUUAA